GGAGAAGUGUGCGCAGCUGCUCGUGGUGGCUUAGCUGAAGAAGUUCGGUGGGAAGCAGUCCGGGUGUGUGGGUUUGAGCCUCCGAGUCUCUACUCCACGAUCUCGAAAUGCAUCGUGAUUCCUGUCCUUUGGACUGUAAGGUUUAUGUAGGCAAUCUCGGAAACAAUGGCAACAAGACUGAAUUGGAACGAGCUUUUGGCUAUUAUGGGCCACUCCGAAGUGUGUGUGUGGGUUGCUAGAAACCCUCCCGGCUUUGCGUUUGUUGAAUUUGAGGAUCCCCGAGAUGCAGCUGAUGCUGUUCGAGAGCUGGAUGGAAGAACACUGUGUGGCUGCCGUGUAAGAGUGGAACUGACGAAUGGUGAGAAGAGAAGCCGAAACCGUGGCCCACCUCCUUCUUGGGGUCGUCGCCCUCGAGAUGAUUAUCGAAGGAGGAGUCCUCCACCUCGCCGCAGAUCUCCAAGAAGGAGAAGCUUCUCUCGCAGCCGAAGCAGGUCCCUUUCUAGAGAUAGGAGAAGAGAGAGAUCACUGUCUCGCGAGCGAAAUCACAAGCCGUCCCGAUCUUUCUCUAGGUCUCGUAGCCGAUCUAGGUCGAAUGAAAGGAAAUAGAAGAACAGUUUGCAAGAGAAGUGGUGUACAGGAAAUAACUUCAGUUGACAGGAGUAUGUACAGAAAAUUCAAGUUUUGUUUGAGACUUCAUAAGCUUGGUACAUUUUGAAGAUGUUUUAGCUGUUCAAAUUUGUUUGUCUUUUGGAACAGUGACACAGCGAUGUAAUUCUCUAUGGUUUGAAAUGGAUCAUAUGAGGCAUGUAAUACCAAGAAUUGUUACUUUACAAUGUUCCCUUAAGCAAGAUUGAAUUUGCAUUGAACUCUAGUCUUACAUGUAGGACUGAAAUAAAAACCUCUAAAUC